CUGCCACACAACCACUUCAGAUGCCAUACACUCCUGGGGUGGGGCCGGGGAGGACACCAGGCCCGAGGGGUCUCUAGGGGAGGCACAUGCGUGGCACAAACACACACAUCGCACACCACAAGCCCUGGCCCUCCCUCAGGGACCCGGGGGCUGCUCAGAUGCUGACCCUUGUUUAGGGGGUUGCCUCAGCAGGUGUGAGGCGGCGCCCUAGGGGUCCCGAGGCCCAGAGCCUGGAUUCUAGCCGGGGGCCACUCAGUGAGCUCAUCUAGACAGGGGCAGGAGGCCUGGGGGCACUGAAGGGUGGUCAGGCCUGUGGGCUCCUGAAAGCAGGAGCUGAGGCCAGAGGGGAUCCUGGUGCCAUCUGGGUAGGGGAGUAUGGAGGGGGAGUCCGGAGGGAGGGGGCAGCCUGGGACACAGGAGUCACUCAGGGACUCCUGGAGACUCAGGUGGGCUGGGCUCCUCCCGUGGCUGCCUCUGACUCAGGGCAGCCAGACUGGGUCUGCCCUGGGACCUUGGCCCAGCUCUGUGGUCCUCCUACUUAGGGGGCCCUCCUGACCCAGCCAGGCCACCCCGGGCUCCUCUCCCCCAGCCUCCACUCCUAGCGAGGUGGUCCCAUGACCCCUCCCUCAUUACCCGUGUCCCCACCCCAAACCAUGCUGACUUGGGGUCUCUAACUGGUCACCAGUAAAUGGGCUGGAGUGCUGGGACCCAAGUGUUCUGUCCAG
rnacentral:lncRNA from 1 species